rnacentral:misc_RNA from 1 species
CCUCCUUUCUAAGGAUGAAUAAAAGUAAAAUUUUAUUCUAAAUAAUAUACAGGUUAAUGUUGACCGUCCUCAUUUCUCUUCUUAAAGUAAUGUUUCCAUCUUGUAGGGCCGGUAGCUCAGUCGGUUAGAGCACACCCUUGAUAAGGGUGGGGUCGAAAGUUCGAGUCUUUCUCGGCCCACCAAAUUUAACUGGGGGAUUAGCUCAGCUGGGAGAGCGCCUGAUUUGCAUUCAGGAGGUCAGCGGUUCGAUCCCGCUAUCCUCCACCAGGGAACAUUUAGCUAUUAAAACUGUAAAUAAAAAUAAUUAAUAUCAAUAUCUAUAUCCGAACAUUAAAAGUUAUUAUUUAAUGUUCAAAAUAAAAAUUUGAUCACAACACAGAAAGAAUUUUUUUCUGUGCAUAAAUCAAGCGUUUAAGGGCGUGUGGCGGAUGCCUGGGCACUGAAAGCCGAUGAAGGACGUGGUAUACUGCGAUAAGUUUCGGGGAGCUGUAUGCAAGCUUUGAUCCGAAGAUUCCGAAUGGG